GACGAACGCUGGCGGCGUGGAUUAGGCAUGCAAGUUGAGCGACAGACAGGCUUCGGCCUGUUAUGGAGCAGCGAACGGGUGAGUAACACGUGAACAAUCUGUCCCCACAUUCCGGAUAAUUGGCCGAAAGGCCUUGUAAUACGGGGGAGGGUCCCGAGAGAGCAUUCUCAUGGGAAGGAAGGCGCAAGCCGUGCGGGGAGGAGUUCGCGGCCUAUCAGUUAGUUGGUGGGGAAUGGCCUACCAAGACGACGACGGGUAGCUGGUCUGAGAGGAUGGUCAGCCACAUUGGAACUGAGAUACUGUCCAGACUCCUACGGGAGGCUGCAGUCGAGAAUCUUGGGCAAUGCACGAAAGUGUGACCCAGCGACGCCGCGUGAAGGAUGAAGGACCUCUGGUUCGUAAACUUCUUUUAUGGGAAAGAAUGCCCGCAAGGGUUUGACGGUACCCAUGAAUAAGCCACGGCUAACUACGUGCCAGCA
rnacentral:rRNA from 1 species